rnacentral:rRNA from 1 species
AAACACUCGCGAGAGCUAGCAAUCCCAUAAACCGUGGCUCAGUUCAGAUCGUAGGCUGCAACUCGCCUACGUGAAGUAGGAAUCGCUAGUAAUCGCAGGUCAGCAUACUGCGGUGAAUACGUUCCCGGGCCUUGUACACACCGCCCGUCACACCAUGGAAGUUGGCCAUGCCCGAAGUCGUUACUCCAACCCUUGUGGAGGAGGACGCCGAAGGUGGGGCUAAUGACUGGGGUGAAGUCGUAACAAGGUAGCCGUACCGGAAGGUGCGGCUGGAUCACCUCCUAA